UGGGGAUUAGCCAAGCGGUAAGGCAACGGACUUUGACUCCGUCAUGCCCAGGUUCGAAUCCUGGAUCCCCAGCCA
rnacentral:tRNA from 4 species